rnacentral:lncRNA from 1 species
AGGCAUUCUACAAAUUUUCUUUACUGUUUCAGUGUUAAUAUAGUUUGGUUUUUUUUUUUUUUUUUUAAGUCAAUUUUGGAAUUCACUUAAACCUCCAAUCAUGAUGCCAUGGAUGAAAAUUCUCAGAAAAUAUGACACCCUUUUAAACCUUUGACUGGCUUUCAUAGAAUUUUUACACUCCCAAAAAGGGUGAUAUUUGUUAUCUACACAAGUUUAUUCAUGUUAACUCUUUGUUAUUGAAAAAUUUGGUCAAAAACCAUAAAGAAGUAUUCUUUUUUGAGGAGGGGAAUGGGGGAAGAUGGGGCAAUCUUUUCAAAUUAUAAUUGUGCUAGAUCUUGGUUACCAAAGCAGUGUCAGGAUUUGAAGAUGGAAAAAUCAUACUUUGUAUAUUGGAAGUUGGCACCAUUGUGGUCACUGCACUAUUUUCCCCUGUUUCAAGUUAACAUUUAAUUCUUGGUGGUUUUUAUUUUUAAUUUUAUUUUGCUAUUGUCUUUCCUUUGAUAAGUGUCUUCUACUUGUCUGCAGUUAUUGAAUCUUCUAGUGAGCUAUUUUUACUUGACCAUAUGGGAGUUUUUAUCUGGUUUAAAUAUACUAGCUUAAUACGUUACUUUUUUCCACCAUCUCUUUUCCUUUACAUGGAGACUUCUUUUAGACAAAAAACAAAACAGAUCUAUAUUUUGAUAAUAAGAAUUUCUGCCAUAAUGGUCAAGAUUCUCUGCUCUUUUAGGAAUGCCUAGACUUUUUUUCAUUCAUCUUGUCAUUUUGUUCUGAAGACUCCACAGUUUAAGUGCAUGUUAACAUGAAAUAAUUUGUCCGUUAAUCUUUUUUGCAUCAACUCUUACCUCAUCACUUGUCAUCUGUGGAUUUUGAAACAGUAGUGCAUGUAACCUGAGAGCCUUGUCUAAUUUAAAUAUAAAAUGUUUUCUCCACUUUCUUGAUUAGCAAUGUGUGUGUGUGUAUGUGUGUAUGAUGGUAGCAGUAUUUAUGUCAACAGAAGUCACUGGAUGGAUUGGGUCAUCUAAUUGUUCAAGUUAUCUAUCUCAAAUGAUCCAUAGACAUUUUGGCUUUCUGUGUGCUUUCUUAUUAUUGUUGGAUUCUAUCAGUCUUUCAUUAACAAGAUAGAUUUUUAGAUGAGCAAACAAUCUCUUGCAUAUUCUUUUGCUUUAACAUUGCAUUCUUUUAUCCUUUUGUGCUUAUGUUAAUAUUUAUGUCCAUCAGUACUGUUUCAUAUUUCUAGGAUUUGUUUAAGUCUAAUUCAUUUCAUGAAGUGGAAUAUUUUUAGCUCAUACCUCAGUAAAGCACAACUUGAUGAAAAUGAAGUUUUUCCUAAAAGAAAAAUAUUCCUGAAGCUCACAGUUCCAGGAAGUAUAGUUGUCAGUCACCAAGUACUGCUAUAAGUGUUUGUUGAAAUAGCAUUUAAAGGAGUUUAUGAAUAGGUCGGUAAUAAAACAAAUCAACUUUCAGUUUAGGAAUUUGUGUGUUUUUGAAACAAGGUGAAAGUCAAAUUUCUUCUCUCCAAAUAGAGUAGUGAUAGGGAGAAGAAUAAAGCAUCUUGGUGGACAUUGAGAAAUCUUUGCCUGGGUGAAAUAGGUUGAAAAUGUAAAAGAACUUGAGGAUUUUAUAUAGGUGAACAUUUCUUUCCUAGGACUAACUUAACAUACUUCAAAGUCAAAGAUAGUGAUUCUCUGAUGGUAUAUUGGAGGAAGAACAAACUCUGGAGAAGUUCAAGAAAUUGAGCCAUUAUGUGUAACAAAUCUGUCUUCCAUUGUUCUCAAACUAGAAUGCUGUAGGAGAGCCUAGCCUUUUAAAAUUGGCUUCAGUUUUUUGUUACUGUUGUUUUGUCUUAGCUCUUGAACUUUACAAUGUUGGGUUUUGGUUUUUAAUUUUUUAUUUUCCCCCAUUUUUUUGGACUCAUUGAUAAAACUGCUACUUGUUUUUUUUUUUUUUUUCCCUGUCCAAACUUAAUGACAUUCCUCUGGUAGGUAAAGAAUUUGUUAUGAUUGUAACAAUUGUGCAAUAUUUUAAUAUGUGUGAACAAAUUUGCCUUUCUUCUUAUCUAAUCCAGGAAGUAAAAUUUUAAGGUGCAGUCUCCCUUUUUGAAAUUAGAGUAUUAGACACCUCACUUGCAAAUGUUUGUUGUUGCUCAAGGGGAAAAUUUGAAAGAAUUCUCAGUGCUAGUCAAAAGGUGUAUUCCAAAACCAGUUUCCAGAAUGCUAUAACAGGGUGUUCUAAUGUGACCUUCAUUGUAUAUCAAAGAAAACAAUUCUUCCUCUGUGUCAGUUGCAGAUAAUUUUAUAGCAUGCCAUCCAAGAUAAGGGGAGACUGUAUCUUCAAUUUUCUUGGUCUGUUUUUGUGGUGUUUUAAGGAUUUGGAAAUUUUGGUGAUGUUAUUCUGUUCUAUAAAAAUGGUAUUGGACUUAAACUGCCAUGUCAUCCUUUAAAUGAGCAUUACAAUAAAGCAAAGAGAAGUAGAUGCAA